AGAGGACAGCCAAAUGUGGAGCACUGCGAUGCUCGCGAGGCAUCCGCCUCUUUAUGGGGCUGCGGCAAAGAAGGGCCGACGAGAGUAAGAAUUCUAUACCUUGAAGCGCUAUUUUCAAAGCGGUUUAUAAAGUCGUGCAAACAUGAUCGAGGAAGAGAGGCGAUUUAACUUCUCAGAGCAAUGUAUCCUGUGUAUCCUGGAAACGCGCAGCGAUAGGACGUUUUGGCACGGCCGAAGAGCAGAAACGGCGGAACGUUAAUCUACGUACGUACGCGUCUCGUCUCGAUUCGCCCUGAUGCCGACCACCUGUCCCACGCGACAAUUCGAGGGUACGACAUCAGCUCGCUGGAUGGAUCGUUAUAGGAACCUGGCAAACGGGGCUAAUUACCAAUCUGAUCGGCCAAGAUCGGACACGGGACAACCAAGACACAAUGACAAGGAAUUUCUCGUUAUGUCUAGAAGCGAUACUACACUGUUUGGCACUAAUCUAAGGCAAUCAUCAACGAUUUCUACUAAUUUCUCCGGUUCUAAAUCUCUUGGAAGCUUACUUUGUGAAGAAUAGCAAGUAGAAUUUAGGCAGAACAAUUAAAAAAGAAAAUACCGUAUACUUGCGUGCAAAGCGAGUUCCCACAGCACGAAUUGCUACAACGCGUCGAAGAUCUCGUGACUGUUUUCAUAUAAUACGAUUCCUUGGGCACCAAUAAAAUACAAUUUCCAGCAUUUAAAAAUAAAGUAAAGUUUAACUGAACAUUA